CGUAAAGGGCUCGCAGGCGGUUCCUUAAGUCUGAUGUGAAAGCCCCCGGCUCAACCGGGGAGGGUCAUUGGAAACUGGGGAACUUGAGUGCAGAAGAGGAGAGUGGAAUUCCACGUGUAGCGGUGAAAUGCGUGGAGAUGUGGAGGAACACCAGUGGCGAAGGCGACUCUCUGGUCUGUAACUGACGCUGAGGAGCGAAAGCGUGGGGAGCGAACAGGAUUAGAUACCCUGGUAGUCCACGCCGUAAACGAUGAGUGCUAAGUGUUAGGGGGUUUCCGCCCCUUAGUGCUGCAGCUAACGCAUUAAGCACUCCGCCUGGGGAGUACGGUCGCAAGACUGAAACUCAAAGGAAUUGACGGGGGCCCGCACAAGCGGUGGAGCAUGUGGUUUAAUUCGAAGCAACGCGAAGAACCUUACCAGGUCUUGACAUCCUCUGACAAUCCUAGAGAUAGGACGUCCCCUUCGGGGGCAGAGUGACAGGUGGUGCAUGGUUGUCGUCAGCUCGUGUCGUGAGAUGUUGGGUUAAGUCCCGCAACGAGCGCAACCCUUGAUCUUAGUUGCCAGCAUUCAGUUGGGCACUCUAAGGUGACUGCCGGUGACAAACCGGAGGAAGGUGGGGAUGACGUCAAAUCAUCAUGCCCCUUAUGACCUGGGCUACACACGUGCUACAAUGGACAGAACAAAGGGCAGCGAAACCGCGAGGUUAAGCCAAUCCCACAAAUCUGUUCUCAGUUCGGAUCGCAGUCUGCAACUCGACUGCGUGAAGCUG
rnacentral:rRNA from 1 species